GAUGAACGCUAGCGGCAGGCUUAACACAUGCAAGUCGAGGGGCAGCACAGGUAGCAAUACUGGGUGGCGACCGGCAAACGGGUGCGGAACACGUACACAAUCUGCCUUUAUCUGGGGAAUAGCCCGAAGAAAUUCGGAUUAAUACCCCAUAACAUAUUUGGAUGGCAGCAUUUGAAUAUUAAAACUCCGGGGGAUAAAGAUGAGUGUGCGUCCCAUUAGCUAGUUGGCAGGGUAACGGCCUGCUAAGGCGACGAUGGGUAGCUGGUGUGAGAGCACGACCAGCCACACGGGCACUGAGACACGGGCCCGACUCCUACGGGAGGCAGCAGUGAGGAAUAUUGGUCAAUGGACGCAAGUCUGAACCAGCCAUGCCGCGUGAAGGAUGAAGGCCUUCUGGGUUGUAAACUUCUUUUAUUGGGGAAGAAAAUUACGGUUUCUACUGUAACCGACGGUACCCAAGGAAUCAGCACCGGCUAACUCCGUGCCAGCCGCCGCCGUAA
rnacentral:rRNA from 1 species